UAAAGAAAUGUGUUGACGCACCUUACGGACGAAUAGGCCCUUUAGAGGUAUGCCGUCGAUUGGAGCCUGUAUCUGGACGAAUUGUGCAGCCAAAAUAAUAGUAAUUUCUUACAGUUUCCUUGAUUUUAUCUUGAAUUUAUAUAAACGUAUGUGCUCCAACAAAAACCGAUAACCUGAAUUAUAUGUUCGGUUCAGAAUAGGCACACUAGAUUACUUCUAUCGAACAAUCAAUUUAAAACCCUGCUUCUGGUAUCCAGUUCAAUAGAUUGUAAGUAUCAAGAUCUCCAAAAUUAUAAAUAGAAACGAAGUUAACGCAUAACUAAAUCAACAUAACGCAUCAACUAAAAAAGGGUCCAGACAGCAGUGCAUCGUUUUUCGGAUUAGGGUUCAUUACGUUUCAAUACCCGUUAACUUAAAUUGUAAGUGACAAUCAUAUACCAUUAUAAACAUUUAUAAAUAUGAAAUAUAUUUACAGUCGAGUCGCGCUACGUUCGGACUACGGAAAAGUUUAAACAAAAUGGAAUAUAUGAAAUGUUCAUUUUCUCAAUUUAUUUCGGGAAAGGCUGCAAUGAAUGUAAGACAAGGUACUUCUAGCACGGCUUCGGAGCCGAACUCGAAUCCCAGAGGUAAAAAGCGUAGAGUUCAGGAUGACGGUGCCGAUACGUCAGAUGAUGUUUUCAUUGAAAAAGUUAGUUUUGCGGAUAUUGCUAAGAACAACUCUGGGAAUCAAACUAACGGUAAAACUAGUAGAAAGAAAAGCGUGAAGUCUAAUGACGCUAAUGUCACAAAGAAGGUUGAGGUGACUCGUAAGGCUCGUCCAGUCAUUGUGAUAAAGCCGCAAGAGUCCAGCCAGAGUAGCGAUGAUACUCGAAAAUUUUUGUACACUAAACUGGAUCCAAAAAUGCACAAGAUCAGUAACUUUAGAAACGGGAAAGAUGGCUCUAUUAUUGCUGAAUGUGCAACAGGAUAUAACGUAAAUGUUGUUAAAGAUGGCAUUCAAAGUGAAUUGGGUGAAAACUACAAAGCUGUUGUUCCCUCAUCGGUGCCAAGACUUAAAGUGAUGGGCAUGUGCGAUCAGUUUUCUUCCGAUGAAUUCAUUCAAAUCCUAAAGGACCAGAAUGAAGACAUCGCUAUCAAUGAAGUGAAAGUCAUCCGUAUGUUUGAAAAUCCACGUUUCAAGUAGAACAAGUACAACGCGGUGAUUGAAGUUGAUAAAAAUACGUACAGUUGCAUGUUGACCGCUAGGAAGGUAAAUAUAAGGUUUGAUCGGUGCCUUGUUGUUCCAGACAAUAGUAUUGUACGAUGUUUCGAGUGUGGAGAAUUUGGGCACGUGAGCACUAAUUGCAAGAACGGCACUAAGUGCUCUAAGUGCAGUGAAAGUCACAAGACAUCUGAAUGCACGUCAACUGUAUUGAAAUGUGUUAAUUGUUGUAAAAUGAAUAACGAACGUAAACUUAACUUGGACGUUAACCACGCAGCUUUCAAUGUUAGUGAAUGUGAAGUCUAUAAGA